rnacentral:lncRNA from 1 species
GGGUGGUUUUCACCAACCGCUUGGUACCCGAGUGUUUGGUCCUGUCCCGCACGAGAUGCGCCUCAAGAAGCAGCUCAAGAUCCUUUCUCUGGCUCAGCAUCUUGUUUGAGACUCUACGCACCACCUAUUAUUAUCUCUUUUAUAUUAUGCGACUGUAAUCCAUCCAUCAGAUAGACUUCUGUUUUAUUAAUUAAACUAUUUGACAAUUUUUUUAGUCCCCAACUUUUAAUGUCUUUCAUGCAAUUAGUUAUCACUCUAUUCCCUAGUUAAAAAAGAAACAUUAUGAAAAUGGAGAGAAGACUUCUAAAUGUUACCAGAACCACCCUCUCUAAAGUCUAAACCCCAUUGUUUAUGUUUUAUAAAUCAGUUUAUAUAGCAACAUCCCUUAUUAAACAGUUUGAUAUCAAUAUUACUUUUUGUGCAAGAGAACAAAAGACAUUAAUUGCUCUAUUUCAGGAUGUAUUAAGGUUAAUGUGACAUAAAUUCCAGUUAUAUUUUCCGUUAGACUUUCAAAUUAUACCUCUCUCGAUUUUAACUUCAUUUUCAUCUCGUAAGAUUUUUGUCUAAGUUCUUCCAUAUCCCACUGUAUCCAAUAUUUUUUUCCCCUCAGUCAAAAUAGCUUGCUCCAAAUUCUCUUUGCUUCUCUGCUUAGUGGUUUCAAGUUCCCCUUCUAAAUCAGCUCAAACCUGACCAGUAAGAACUAUUGGACCAAAUAAUUGGAUAGCCAAAUGGGCUUAUGAGAUAUUUAGUAAUAUUACAAAUUUACAAUGGAAGUUGGAGAACUUUUCAACUCGUAUAAUUAUACACAAGACAAUAUUGAGUUUAAGUGACCAAGCUCCCCACACCCGCGCUGCUGACUUGGCUUGGGCUCGGGGGCUUCAGAGGAUUCAGAGGAUGUAGGAUAUUUCUUAGACCAAAUUAUUUUUAGGUUUUUGGCCAAAGAAUAAAACGAGAUAAAACAUGAAAGAUCUUGUGAAGGAAGUCUUUUUUAACGCUCAACUCCCCAAAUUUCAGCCAGAUUUUUGCUAACAUGCUUACAUGCAGCGUCUGUUAAGAAUAUGUAAAUUUUUCAUUAUUUUAUAUUCUUUAAAUAAUGUAAUACAAUAUUAUAUAUUAUUUUUUUUAAAUUGAGAAAUACAUAUAAUAUUUUAUCCGCGCGUAGCGCGGUUAAAAACUCUAGUAUUAGUAAUAUGAAAUUUGUAAAGUAAUAUAUAGAAAUUAAAUUCUAAAGUGUGCUAAAAAAAAAACAUUUUCUACUUUAGAUUUCUUUUCUUUUUACCUCGUUUUACUUCAAAUUUCCUUUAUUUCUACUUUAAUUUUCCUUUCUUUUACUUUUAAAAAUAAUUGUACUUUUAUAAGUGUUAGACCUAUUUGGCAUAUAAAUCAAUUUGUGAAUUAUAUAAAAGCAAAAAAAAUUGCAUAUCAUAACCGGCUUUAAAAUAUGUAUUUAAAACCGAAUCAUAUUAAAUUGUAUGUUUCAUAAACAAAUACAUUAGGAAAUAGUCCAUUUUGUAAAAAAUAUCAAAUGAUAAAUGAGUUAUCUAAUACAUCAUUUCAUUGUUUCAACAUCCAAAAUGAUUAGAAAGAUCAACAUAGUUUACCAACAAUUAAAAAUAUGAUCACUCAUAAAUUAAAUACUUAGAAUAAAAAAAUAUUUGUGUGGUCGCAAUGAUCAAAAUUUAGUUUUCUUUAAAACAAAGAUCUUUAACAUGUUGGUAUUAUAUAUCAAUAAGAGCCCAAAAAACUAUUAUUCCCUAAGACGUCCACAGAUGUUGGGAUGGCUCUGAUAGCUCCAUCCAUGAAAACAUAAAAUCAUCAACACAACAAUUUGAUAAAAGAAGCGAAUGAUUUUUCUUUGUAUAUAAAUCGAUUCAUUGAUUUAUAUAAAUUAUAAGAAUGAAUCUAUGAACCAAUAGUACUUUAAAAAUGACAAAUAUACCUCAUGUUUAGAAGAUUGAUUUGUAAAUUAGUUAUAGAAGUGUUUAGAUAUCAAAAAAAAAUGUCUUAUUAUGUUACACAAGAGAGAAAGUGUCUUUCAAAGUAAUUUUCACAUUAAGAUGUUGUAGUUCUCAUAAUUUAGCAUUCAAUUAUGUUGUUGUUUCCCCGCUAAAUACUAACUUUGGAACACUACUAUGAAUCUAUGACACAAAAACAAAACAAAUAAUACAUUGAAUGAGAUCUCUUUUACAAAAUCAAACAUGAUUAAUACUAUAUCAUCUCCCAGUGCCUACACCACUGGCCCCAUAAAUCUAAUUUUACAGAAAAAUAAUCUUGUGGUAUCUGUCUAUAUAUAUAUAUAACUUCAGUAUAAAUGUGGUACAUGAGACAACUACAACAAGAAUCAGAUAAUGUAAGAACUAUGAAGUCAUCUUUCCCCUUUACAGCUCCAAGGAUGUUGGAACUAUGAGAUCAUAUAUUCUGUAGAAUUGUUUGCAACACAAACUACUGGUCCAAGUCAUCGGGAGGCAAUGUCGGACUCUUGGAGCAAAUAUCCAUAUUGUGAAGCUCCUUUAACCGACUCUCCGGGUUACAAAGCCCUUAAAGAUUUUAAGAAGAAAACGUUGGUUUCUUGUAAGAGCCUAUUAAGUGAAGAAAGAAACCAUAUUUAAAAGUUACCUGAGCAUUUGGGAAUGUCCCAGACUGCUAUAGACUUUGGGGAACAACGAGGCUCGCAUAAAGCACGGUUGUCCUCAUGAUGUACAUCCAUUGCAAGCAUCCAAGAUCCGAUGGUUACAUCUUCAUUGUUAAACAUCCUCAAGCUAAAAGGUAAAAAGACCGAUAAAUGAGAUUUGCAUACAUCAGAAUCUGCAAGUGAGGAUAAACAAAAAAAGAAGCAUUUAGUAGAACCUGCCGUUCCGAGCUGAUGCAAGUGAAGCCACUAUCUCGGCUGAAAGAACGUACAUCGGUCCAUAAGCAUGUAAGAAAUAUUCAUUUCCAAUCAAAUUGCCCUGUUUCUCAUACCUGACAAAUUUCGAUAUAUGUCACAAAAGCUGAUAAACUUCCACGUAGAAUGAAAACAAGGCUUAUCUAAUAGUAAUACCAUUUGAGUUUAGGGUUAGUUAUAACUGGUCCUUUCUUCAUGCAGCCAAUGUACGUCUGUGAAUGAAGCCUUUCCUUGGCAAGAAGCGUCCCAAGGCGAUCUGGUCUCAAGUAAAUGUCGUCGUCGGCUUUGACAUAAUAAUCAGCCUCAAAGAGUUUAAAAGCUGCUUUGAAGAAGGCCAACCUAUAAAGAGAUGAAUCAAUCAAUCAGAGUCAUAUUGAUGAAAUGGAGAUUUGAGGGAUUCUUUUAUUUACGUUUUAUAAGGAAGUCGUAGAUACUCUUCCUCAACAUCAUCAAGAAGCACAAAAUCUCUGUGUUCUUUUAUCUCCUUUUCAAGCUCAGCCAUCUUCUUUUCAUCUUUUGACCGUCCAAUCACAAAUCUAAAAGCUAAUCCAGUCGCUUGUUCCAACCUAAGUUCCCAGUCAUCAAACAAAACAAAUAUUGGAUUCCAAUCCAAAAUUAGCAGAUCAAAAUAGAGACAAGCAAAGUAAUCUCAGUUAAUCUUCAUUGUCUUUAAAUAUCUAACCCACCCCAAGUGUUCUAAAAAUCGGUCUUGGCGACAAAUCGCGCUAAAACAAAACAAUUUUCCUAAGAAAAAUCGGUCUAGGCAUCUGUCUAAUCAAUAAUCUCCUAUAAAACGCCUAAACACGGCCUAGCGAUUUCUUGAACAUUGAUCUAACCCGAAAUUUCAGGUUAAACAUUUACUUUCCCGCACAAACUUAGACUUUGAUAGCUAAAGUAACCGUAAUGACAUCAAAAGGUUACAAAAUCUCAUCAUGGCAUGUUUAACAUAUUGUCUUUUUUUAGCUUUAAGAGGUAAACACUACAUCGCAACCAAUCUACGAAACAAGAUGGAGAUGUAACCAGCAUUUCAGAAUUUACUUGACAAUCUUGAAGCAAUGUAUUAUAUUCUAAUAAGAUUACCUUAGAAGAGCAUCAGGAUCAGAAGGGAACCAAGUACUUCUCAAAGCGGCACGACGAUCACCAUAAUCGAAACCAGUUUGGAUCCCAACGAAUCCUAUAACCUUUCGUCUUUCCGGCAAUACGUCGCCGUUCCCACCGAGUUUUCUUGAACCGAACACUCGUGAAGUGUCUUUAGAUCCACCGCAUCGAUACACGGAGGAAGGACCUCCGGAGGAAGUGAUUGCGAAGAUAGUUCCGGCGAGUCCGAUGAAAAGAGAGACGAGGGAGAAGAGUACGAUGGCCACGUGGACACGAGAGGCGGAAGAGCUGUGUUUGUGGCUCUUCGAGGGUUUGCUGUAGUAGGAAGGAGUUGCAGGGCCGGUGGAAGAUGCGGUGACGAAGCGGUGGGAGAAGAGUGGCAUUAUCGUAAUUCUGAGGGUGGUGGAAGGGCAAGUUCGGGUUUUGCGAUAAACUGGGAGGUUUUUGUUCUUUUAGAUCUGUAGUGACGGUGGUGAAGUGUGGCUUCUGAUUGCGAAUCUAAUUAUUUUCCACUUUUUAUGCUUCUUUUGUUAAUUUUCUUACACGACAGUCUUUUUUGUUAUGUAAUAAUAAUUUUAAUUUCUUAGCAUAAAAAGAAAGAGAGCAAUGAAUGCAUUCACAUGACUAUCUACGAGAUUCAAAUUCAAUCGCUACAACUAUUAUAGAACUGCUAUAAAAUUAAAUGUCACGCAAAAAGCUAACAUCUGAAUGAAACAAAAGCUGUCUAACCAAUUAUGUAAUGGAAGCGGUAGAGAAAAGUCACACUUCCCAAAUAAAUUAGAUAGUCCCAAUAACGUUUUCUCAGUGGAAUUCUCUGGUCUGAUAGAAGAUCAAGUAUUGAUCAUGUUUUACCUUAAAUUUGAAUUUGAAUUAAAAAGUUCACCGGUUUUAAAUUAUUGUAAUUGUCAGUGAAAGUAAAUUUUAAAAGUUCACCGGUUUUAAACACCACAUAGUUUUUUCUGGUAAAAGGUUGAAUAAAACACCGCAUUGUUUGUCUGUUUGAUGUACACUUUCAGCUGUAGUUUUAUUCUAUUUGACUCAAUUAACUCGUAAUAGCUGGUCCACAUAAUUUGGAUUAAAGUCUUAUCAGUUCGAGGCCAUUUGGAUAUGUCUACUAAGUGUUGAGGUUUUCUAUGACUACAAGAUAAAUAUAUGACUACAACAUAAAUAAUACCGUCCGGGAUUUAAAUAACGCAUUCAUUCUCGCCCUGGCUCACACUGAAAGGCAAUAUAACUCUACCACACAUAAGUAUCUGUUUGUUUCUAAAAAAUCAAAGUACAAAGAAAUAUGCUGAAAACAUAGAAAUUAUAAUAUUGAUCGCCAGUCGUGUAAACCAUAUAAAAUAGUAUCAAUUUAAAAUAUAACAUAUAAGUAUUUUUACCCUUGUAGGAUCAUUUCUAGAUGGAUUUGGAUGUCUAUGUAGACAAUAAUAUCUUCCACGUCAAUAGUAAGAUGAAUAUGUCUAAGAUGCAUCUGUACUUAUCUUGUAAGAUUUUAUAUGUUUUUACAAAAGAUUCUUGAAUCGAAAUUUCAGUUUCAGGAAGCAUUGCCUUUUAGAAACAAAUCUCAGAGAAACAAUUUCCAUAAUCUCUAUUUCAGAAAUUAGAGUAAAGAGUAAAUUAAAAAUGAAAACAACCUGAGCGCCAGGAUUCAAACCUGGACAGGCAAAGCCCACUUAAUUUCUAGGCAAGCCCAUUAACCACUACGACACUUUCACAAUUACGCACAAGCCUACCUGUGAUCGUUGCGACGAGAGAACCCUAGAAUUACGGUGCUCGUUGCAGUAGUAGAGCACAAUUGUGUGUACACACACUCUUAGAUUGAAACCUCUCUAGUUGCAGAAAUGGCGGCAGCUUUAGCUUCCAGACUCACCAAAGGUAAAAAAGACGUACUCACCUCUUUCGUUUUUUUAACAGACCAACGCGUUAAUUCGAUAAUUGUUUUUUAAUUAUUAUUUUUUUUCUCGUAAAGUUGACUUCUUCCAAGAAAAACAAAAUCUACAGUUUAUAGUUCAUUAGAUCUUCUGAGUUUGGUCGGCACAAUAAAAAAUCAGAUCUUUUAGAACAUAUGUUGUUUGUCGGUUUCAGAAAAAACAAUCUCUGAGAACUUAAAACAUCAAAGAGUCGAACUUUUUGCUGAACAUGUUGUCUUGAUAUGAUUGAUCCACAAUGUGAACAGGACGUUCACUGCUUGGAGGUCUCACCAAUGCUUUCUCUGGUUUGAUGAGUUCAUCGAACGGAAGCAUCCUUUCUCAGGUCAAUAUAUAUUUUGAAUAAUGAGAGAAACCCCGUGAAUUGUGUGUCCACUGAUGAUUGAUUUCCAAUUUGGCAGCAGCAACAAAGGACGUUCAUUCAAAUGGGAACGACUCUCAAAGUCGUGGAUAACUCUGGUGGAAAAGAGGUGAUGUGCAUUCAAUCUCUAAGGGGAAAGAAAGGAGCAAGACUUGGUGAUAUCGUCAUCGGUUCAGUGAAAGAGGCUGCACAAAAAAAAGAUGUAAAGAAAGGGAAAGAUGACAUACAAAAGGGUAAAGUGAAGAAAGGGAACGUCGUGUACGGUGUGGUUGUUCGUGCUGCUAUGCAGAAGGGGCGUGUUGAUGGAAGCCAAGUCAGGUUCGAUGACAACGCCAUCGUAAUUUUGGGCAUUAAGGAGAAAAAGAAAGAUGAAAAUGGUAAGGAAAAAAAGAAAAAGCAUGCGGGUGGUUUUCACCAACCGCUUGGUACCCGAGUGUUUGGUCCUGUCCCGCACGAGAUGCGCCUCAAGAAGCAGCUCAAGAUCCUUUCUCUGGCUCAGCAUCUUGUUUGAGACUCUACGCACCACCUAUUAUUAUCUCUUUUAUAUUAUGCGACUGUAAUCCAUCCAUCAGAUAGACUUCUGUUUUAUUAAUUAAACUAUUUGACAAUUUUUUUAGUCCCCAACUUUUAAUGUCUUUCAUGCAA